rnacentral:rRNA from 1 species
AUUGAACGCUGGCGGCAGGCCUAACACAUGCAAGUCGAGCGGCAGCGGGAAAGUAGCUUGCUACUUUUGCCGGCGAGCGGCGGACGGGUGAGUAAUGCCUGGGGAUCUGCCCAGUCGAGGGGGAUAACUACUGGAAACGGUAGCUAAUACCGCAUACGCCCUACGGGGGAAAGCAGGGGACCUUCGGGCCUUGCGCGAUUGGAUGAACCCAGGGGGGAUUAGCUAGUUGGUGAGGUAAUGGCUCACCAAGGCGACGACCCCUAGCUGGUCUGAGAGGAUGAUCAGCCACACUGGAACUGAGACACGGUCCAGACUCCUACGGGAGGCAGCAGUGGGGAAUAGUGCACAAUGGGGGAAACCCUGAUGCAGCCAUGCCGCGUGUGUGAAGAAGGCCUUCGGGUUGUAAAGCACUUUCAGCGGGGAGGAAAGGUUGGUAGCUAAUAACUGCCAGCUGUGACGUUACUCGCAGAAGAAGCACCGGCUAACUCCGUGCCAGCCGCCGCCGUAAGAC